CGCUUGGUGUAGUUGGUUUAUCACGUUCGGCUGUAAUAUCCAUUGUUACCGAAAGGUAGGUGAUAAAUGUAACUCUAAGCGAGCGACUCGGGCUAACACAUCAAAAAGGUCCCUAGUUCGAUUCUGGUACGCCA